rnacentral:rRNA from 1 species
ACGGCUCAGUAACACGUAGUCAACCUAACCUAUGGACGGGAAUAACCUCGGGAAACUGAGAAUAAUGCCCGAUAGAACACUAUACCUGGAAUGGUUUGUGUUCCAAAUGAUUUAUCGCCAUAGGAUGGGACUGCGGCCUAUCAGUUUGUUGGUGAGGUAAUGGCCCACCAAGACUAUUACAGGUACGGGCUCUGAGAGGAGUAGCCCGGAGAUGGGUACUGAGACACGGACCCAGGCCCUAUGGGGCGCAGCAGGCGAGAAAACUUUGCAAUGUGCGAAAGCACGACAAGGUUAAUCCGAGUGAUUUGUGCUAAACGAAUCUUUUGUUAGUCCUAGAAACACUAACGAAUAAGGGGUGGGCAAGUUCUGGUGUCAGCCGCCGCGGUAAAACCAGCACCUCAAGUGGUCAGGAUGAUUAUUGGGCCUAAAGCAUCCGUAGCCGGCUCUGUAAGUUUUCGGUUAAAUCUGUACGCUUAACGUACAGGCUGCCGGGAAUACUGCAAAGCUAGGGAGUGGGAGAGGUAGACGGUACUCGGUAGGAAGUGGUAAAAUGCUUUGAUCUAUCGAUGACCACCUGUGGCGAAGGCGGUCUACCAGAACACGUCCGACGGUGAGGGAUGAAAGCUGGGGGAGCAAACCGGAUUAGAUACCCGGGUAGUCCCAGCUGUAAACUAUGCAAACCCAGUGAUGCAUUGGCUUGUGGCCAAUGCAGUGCUGCAGGGAAGCCGUUAAGUUUGCCGCCUGGGAAGUACGUACGCAAGUAUGAAACUUAAAGGAAUUGGCGGGGGAGCA